rnacentral:rRNA from 1 species
UGCAGAGGUCCCAAGCGUUGUUCGGAUUUACUGGGCGUAAAGGGUGCGUAGGCGGUUGUUUAAGUCUGACGUGAAAUCUCCGGGCCUAACCCGGAAACUGCGUUGGAUACUAUUCAACUAGAGGAAUGGAGGGGAGACUGGAAUACUUGGUGUAGCAGUGAAAUGCGUAGAUAUCAAGUGGAACACCAGUGGCGAAGGCGAGUCUCUGGACAUUUCCUGACGCUGAGGCACGAAAGCCAGGGGAGCAAACGGG